rnacentral:lncRNA from 1 species
AAUGAUUACAUACAGUUUUACUACGUGCAAAUUUUGAAUUCUUGCAUUUUCGACAGGGGCAGAACAUCUUACCGCUUUCCUGGGUGAUCGGUGUACAGCCCACCUGGUGCAUGAAUGCCCGUUCAGAAAUGCGUUCGUCACCCUCUCAUCGGAAUCUUUGUGCAAAUACAUUCAACUCCGUAACUCGUAAAUACUACCGCCACCAGCCAUUUUUUUUUUAGAUUUUUUUUGAAAAUUUUUUUUUGCUGAUUUUUUUUCCGUUUGUGUGUUGUGAGGAAGAGAGUUGUGGGAAAUGACAUAUAUAUAGAGAAAUUUUCGAGUUGGGUAGUUGAAAUACAACAACGAUUUUACAAGGAAUGUUUUACAUAGAUUUUACAUGGUUUUAACAUAAUAUUUACAAUGACUUUACAACGAAUUUAGGUAAGUUAAAGCACAUUGAAUACACGUUUUCACCUAAAUAUAACGGUAACAUGAUUCGUUGUAAUGUCGAUGUAACGUUUACGAUUAUUUUUGCUUUCCACGUACUUUCGUCGUAAAGUUCCAUGGAGUUUACGACGAAUUUUGGUCUCGUUGUAAUUGCGUUGUAAAAACCUUGCAAAUUUACGAGGAAAUAUUUUCGUCGUAAAUCUUUGUUGUUACUGAAACGUUUUUUUGUAGUGUCUAGUUGUAAUAAUUUAAAUAAUAUAGCAAUCAAAUAUAAACCCCGUUUCAGAAUUUAUUUCACUGCUUAACAUGCCCAGUUACAAUUGAGUCGACCAUGGCUUCUGAUAUACACCCCUCGAGUGACAGUGCGUACUGCUUUCUACCAAUAUAUUUU